AUCGGAUUGAUAUAAGCCAUGCGAGUCUUUGUAGUAAUACAAGGCAGACGGCUCAGUAACACGUAGUCAACCUACCCUAUGGACGAGAAUAAUCUCGGGAAACUGAGCAUAAUUCUUGAUAGAUCAUAAUGCCUGGAAUGGUUUAUGGUUAAAAUGAUUCGUCGCCAUAGGAUGGGACUGCGGCCUAUCAGCUUGUUGGUGAGGUAAUGGCCCACCAAGGCGAUUACAGGUACGGGCUCUGAGAGGAGAAGCCCGGAGAUGGGUACUGAGACACGGACCCAGGCCCUAUGGGGCGCAGCAGGCGAGAAAACUUUGCAAUGUGCGAAAGCACGACAAGGUUAAUCCGAGUGAUUUCUGCUAAAGAAAUCUUUUGCCAGUCAUAAAACCACUGGUGAAUAAGGGGUGGGCAAGUUCUGGUGUCAGCCGCCGCGGUAAAACCAGCACCUCAAGUGGUCAGGAUGAUUAUUGGGCCUAAAGCAUCCGUAGCCUGCUCUGUAAGUUUUCGGUUAAAUCUGUAUGCUCAACAUACAGGCCGCCGGAAAUACUGCAGGGCUAGGGAGUGGGAGAGGUAGACGGUACUCGGGAGGAAGUGGUAAAAUGCUUUGAUCUUUCGGUGACCACCUGUGGCGAAGGCGGUCUACCAGAACACGUCCGACGGUGAGGGAUGAAAGCUGGGGGAGCAAACCGGAUUAGAUACCCGGGUAGUCCCAGCCGUAAACGAUGCAGACUAGAUGAUGCAUUGGCAUAAUAGCCAUUGCAGUGUCUCAGGGAAGCCGUUAAGUCUGCCGCCUGGGAGUACGUACGCAAGUAUGAAACUUAAGGAAUUGGCGGGG
rnacentral:rRNA from 1 species